rnacentral:rRNA from 1 species
UACGUAGGCAGCAAGCGUUGUUCGGAGUUACUGGGCGUAAAGAGUAUGUAGGCGGUUGGGUAAGUUUGGUGUGAAAUCUCCCGGCUCAACUGGGAGGGUGCGCCGAAUACUGAGGGACUAGAGUACGGGAGAGGAAAGUGGAAUUCCUGGUGUAGCGGUGAAAUGCGUAGAUAUCAGGAGGAACACCGGUGGUGUAGACGGCUUUCUGGACCGUAACUGACGCUGAGACACGAAAGCGUGGGUAGCAAACAGG